UCAGGCAACAGAGCUAGGAACAUUUUCUGAGGUCUCAAGUCUGGAGCCCAAAAGAAAAUGAGUUCUUUCCUAAACGACUUUUCUCUAAAAUGAAAAGGUGUGUGUGUCUUCCUGUUGUCAAAAUCCUGGUUUGAAUCUCAAAGGAGGAGAGUCGUGGUUGGAAGAGCGGACUUGGCCUCAGAGGCAGUUGGGCUCAAAUCCCAGCCCCAGAACUGAUCAGCCUUUGGAAAGCGAUAGCAUCUCUCCCAGCCUCUGCUUCCUCAUCAGUGAAAAGGAGAAUGUUACCAAAUUCAUGGGUAGUUGUAUGGAUACCACUUAGCGGAGUGCCCAGCACAGGCCAAGUAGUAUAAGGGUCUGUUUUGCUUCCAGCUAGAACUUCAUGGCACAAAAGGACAUCACACUCAGAUGGGAGAGCAUGUCCUCACUUCUGCCGAAAACCGCGGUUGCAGGAGGGAAGAAUUCUAACGGAAGUGGUAUUGUCUCUGGCUCCAUUUUACCCUUACUCUCUGGAAAGGAAAAAUCAACCAGGAUAUUUUAAUGAGGACAAUGAAUGAAGGCACAGAAGAUCAAACCCAGUUUCUAAAGCGACUAUCUCCUACUAUUUUGUCACCCGUGAACUUUCAAGGAACUAUCUUCCACUAACCCUUAUAAAAUCAUGGUCUCUGCUGACUAAUAAUCUCAUGAAAGACACCGAGAGGUUCGUGCCAGGCAGUGAUGACAGAUCCCAAUGCAAACCUUCCCAGAAUCAUGACUCAGGGAAGCCCAUGUGAAAGGUAAAAAAGUGAGAGAUGAAAAAUGGUUUCUCUCCCUUACCGCACAGGCCUGGCCCCUUGGCAGCCAUGAUCGUAUAUGACAAUGGAUUGCGGCCAUACCUUCCGGAGUGACAAUGGAUUCAAAUGGGCCACUUGGAUCUUACUCUGAAGCAUUUCAUCGAUUUGGGAUUUGGGAAACAGCACGCUCAUUAGUGCGAACUGGUCUCUUGAUCAGAAGUUAUGGAGAGACCACCCAUUAUUCCCCACCCCUCUGUCACUGAAUCAGUAGAGGAAGAAAAUUUUCAGAGAUAAAGAAGGUUGUAGCAGCUGAGCUGAGCGGAGAAAAGGAGGGAGGGUCCUGAUGGUUGACUAGUUCCCAUUUGCAGGCCUUUCUUGAGGCCCCGUGUGGAUGGACCUUUUGGAGUUGCGGGUGGAAAUUUAAUUUAGAUUCUUUCAGUUAUAAGCAACAGAAACUGGUGCCGACUAUCCUAACCAGUAAGAGAAUUUAUCUGGCAUAUGACAGAGGCUUGCCAAAGUGUUGCAAGGUGAGGAUGUGAAAGGAUUCGGAAAGAAGCCCACCACUAGAGGAUUGUCAGCACCGAGGCUGCAGGACAAGGAGACCGGGAGCAGCAUUCAGCAGGUAUCAUUGGAACACCAGCAGGAUAUUUGAUCAGCAUUCUCGCUUGCAGGUUCUUAAGACUCAAAGCGCUUGGACAUUUCUAUUGCUCAAAUAGCUGGGUGAAUCACACGUUCCGGUGACCCUCUCGGGCAUCUGGAUUUGAGACUCAGGAUUGUUCACAAAAGUCACCUUGGCUCCCAUUCAGAAUAAACCGUGUUCUGCAGAUGGGUACCGGUGAAUGCUGCAAAUUUCACGUCCUCUGAAUAUACUCCGAACUUCUUAGGGAGCCAAGACAAGAGGAAAUCAUUAAAUGGGGCGGGUUUCAAAUGAGUAAGCAUUUCACUUUCAAACGAUCUCAGCAACACUUCCUUGUUUUGUUCUAGGUAACUCGAAACUUUUGAGACUGAAUUGUUUUGCUCAGGAGAACAACGUUAUCUCAGUGUGCGUGUAUCUCCUUUCUGAUCUGAGAAGUACUGGGCUUGGAGCACCAGGAAGCUGGCCCUCGGGACAAAUGUCUUUCCCGGAGACACACCUGACGUCCCUCAACGUAGCCAGACCACCCCCCCUCUGCCCCGGAAUAUAUCACUGGUUCUUCAGGUGAGCUCCCGGGGUUUAGGGAGGAGGUCGCAUGAAAAAUUCUUUAAUAUAGAAUGAAACUCACUCUAGCAGGUGCUCAGGCUGUGAGGGAGACCGAGCGAGGGAAGAACAGGAAUCCCAGCCUAGACUCUUCCCGAGGACAAAUGCUGGAUGUGUCUUGUUUGCCAACGCACGCCUGAAACUUAGCACAAUGACUGACACACAGAUGACAUUCGGGCCCCUUGCUCAGAAGAUCCCCACACUCGGUCUAAUGCUCUGCUGUUGCCCUACAGAAAUUCUUAAUGAUACUCGAACAAUUCCUCCUCCCCACCAUUUUCAUUUUGUGCUACGACCUGCAAAUUAUGUGCCUGCUCCUGGUAACUUCAAUAAAUAACAUGCUGAAUGCAUGAAUGAAUGAAUGAAUGAAUGAAUAAGGGCAGGUCCCUCUUUCCUCGCCUCUUUAAAUUCUGGAUGGAGGUGGAAAAAAAAAUAAGUUUUUUCUUCACUCGAUCUAAAAUUCACCUCCCUCGUUUUAAUUUGUCAGAUCGAGACUGAUCUCUUCCAUCGAUAAAUGACAAUGGGGGCCAUUCAUUCAUUUCAGGGGAAAGCCCUCCUCUACCUACACACAACUGGUCUGACCCUGUUCUGCAACAGAACGAUUUCCUAAGAAUUGGAUUCAGGAAACUCCCAAAGGGGAUUACUUAGUCUUAAGUAAGAGUGAUGGGAGACAUCAAUAUUUGAGUCCUGGUUGGACUCCACAGGAAUCAGCCCUGCCCUUUUCUGAGUUCAUUAAAAAAAAAAAAAAAAAUAGUGGAGGGGCACCUGAGUGGCUCAGUCCGUUGAGCAUCCAACUUGGGCUCAGGUCAUGAUCUUGCAGUUCGUGAGUUCGAGUCCCACAUCAGGCUUGCUGCUGUCAGUGCAGAGCCCGCUUCCUUUCCUCGCUUCCUCUCUCUCUGCUCCCCCUUGCUUGCGCUCUCUCUCAAAAAUAUAUAAAACAUUAAAAAAUGGUGGAGUUCAAACUUAGAGGGGAAAUCUGUUCUACCGAUAACUGAUCUAUAAUGGUGUUGUGUAUCUUUAAGGCCUUGUCUUAUAUCCCUGCCUUGACCUCUCUUUCCACACUGGCCAUUGGCCUCACCAACAACUGUGCAAAGAGCACCUUACUCAUCUCUGCCUUACCUCUAGAGGAUUUUCUGCUGGCUGCAGGUAGCUCCCGCAACCCUUCUGGUACCAGAACAAAGUGCAAGAAAGUUAACACCCCAGGGCAACCCUCGACCAAACCAGAAAGGAUAGAGUGUAGCCGAGAACGCGGACAGUUCCUAAGGAGUUGCAGAAAUAAAAAUGUCAGAAAUAAAAUGUCCUGGAGUCACAGCGCCACCUGGUGAAGAAGGGAAGGAUUGCGCAGGCAAUGGAGCCACAUGAUCACGUGAUCGCUAUUUGGGCGAGGCACCUGGUACCAUAUCCAGCGCGCACACACACACAAAGCGAGUGGAGAUAAGCCAUGGACUCUUGUACCGUAUUGCUGAAUGAAUUCAUCAACGGCUAUAUUGUUUUGCAUACUACUGUAUUAAUCCCAUUACUUUGGGGCUUAACCCUAACCCUAAUUAAUUACAUACUACUGAAUUACAUACUACUGGGUGCUGCGAGUAAACCAGGGGAGACGUAUUUCAAAAGAAAAUGUGCGAGAGAGGCUUGUAACAGUGUUUGCAAGGGGGAUGUUGCUCUUUCUGGGUGGUGGAUAUGUUUGAGAAAGAUUUCUUGAUGGAGCGACACAGAGGCUGAGUGUUGAGGAUGGGCAGAAUUCAGCCAAGUGAAAAACAGGAGAAGGGCCUCUUGAGUAGCAAGAUAAGCAGGUGAAAAGGCCCUGAGGUAGAAGGGAGCAGGUAUCAUUCCCAAAAGGAGACCCAAGAAGAUGGAGGAUAUUGAGGGGAAAGAUGGUAUAAAAAAUAAUGUCGGAGAUAGAGGCUAGGCCUUGGUAAUAAAUCUAAAUUACACCCUAAGUGCAAUGGGAAGACAGAGAAGAAUUUCAUCGAGGGUCGUAGGAAAUCAUUUACGAAAUUGUUGAGCCAUAUACAAAUUCACACUACUUUAUGUUACCCAUCAUAGUAAGAAUAUUCAGAAGAAGUAGCAGAGAGA